CUUCAUCUCAAUGCAGUUUCACCUGAAACCUCAUGAGCAAUAACAAUGAAACUUACUUUCUCAGGAGCUGGAUUUACCUCUCUCUGUUUAAGUCUGGAGUCAAACAGCUUCAGGACGCUGUCAUGCCGGAACAAAGUGCUCUGUGAACACCAGGACAGAACUGUUUCAUUACAGGAGCAAAGUGACCUUUCACAAAAACCUUGUAUUGAUGAGCAGGCUCUCGCUCCUCUGAGGGAAUCCACUGAGAGCGC